UAAUAUUCGCGUUUUUAUGAGCUACGAUCACGUGUAGUACCUGUUCUUUAUAGUGUAAUUUCUGAAACGGUUUUUUAAGUGUAAAUAAUAAAAAUGCCUUCUUUUCAACUGUGAGAAUAGGUGUUAUGUCCUUGCUUAAUUCGCCCCCACUCAUUGGACUCGUUUUGCAAAACCUCGAACAUUGCUCCAUGC
rnacentral:snRNA from 1 species